rnacentral:rRNA from 1 species
GACGAACGCUGGCGGCGUGCUUAAUACAUGCAAGUCGAGCGAGGUUACUGCGACAGAUCCCUUCGGGGUGAAGUUGCUUUAGCCUAGCGGCGGACGGGUGAGUAACGCGUGGGUAACCUACCCUAAAGUUCGGGAUAACAGCGGGAAACCGGCUGCUAAUACCGGAUGCCUUUACCGUGUGGCAUCACAAGGUAAAGAAAGGUAACGCUUUAGGAUGGGCCCGCGUCCCAUUAGCUAGUUGGUGAGGUAACAGCUCACCAAGGCGACGAUGGGUAGCCGGCCUGAGAGGGUGGACGGCCACACUGGGACUGAGACACGGCCCAGACUCCUACGGGAGGCAGCAGUAGGGAAUAUUGCGCAAUGGACGGAAGUCUGACGCAGCGACGCCGCGUGAGCGAUGAAGGCCUUCGGGUUGUAAAGCUCUGUCCUUGGGGAAGAAGGUCUUCGGACUUGACGGUACCCAAGAAGAAAGCCCCGGCUAACUACGUGCCAGCAGCCGCGGUAAUACGUAGGGGGCGAGCGUUGUCCGGAAUUACUGGGCGUAAAGGGUGCGUAGGCGGCCCUUUAAGUCAGAUGUGAAAGCCCGCAGCUUAACUGCGGAAUUGCGUUUGAAACUGGAGGGCUUGAGUGUCGGAGAGGGUAGUGGAAUUCCCAGUGUAGCGGUGAAAUGCGUAGAUAUUGGGAGGAACACCAGUGGCGAAAGCGACUGCCUGGACGAUAACUGACGCUGAGGCACGAAAGCUAGGGGAGCAAACAGG